AAAAAAAAAAAGAGGCAUAAACCAAGAAGGGCUCUUAGCUCAUCUCCAUCUUCCUCCUGUGCUCAUGGCAGACAUUACAAGUCAUUUACAGCACUCUUUCCUGCGCAGCCUCCUGCAGCUUAGCAUCCUUCUCAAGGCAGCAUGAGAGUCAGCCAUCCAAUGCAGCAGAGUUGGCACACUGGGUGAAACAUACUUGCUGCAACUGCUCUAAAGCAACAGCUUCUACUGUCAAGAAGGUACCAGAGAAAUAAGAAACCAAACCACAGGACAGUUGCACGGACUAUUAAAGUCAGAGCGUCACUGUGCAAACCUGCAAAUGGCUUCUGCCAGCUGCCAGUUACUGGUGUCAGUCCCUGUGGCUAUCUUUAAGGCUGGCAGGGGUCUUGGAAACAAGCCUGGCCCUCAUCAGACUGUCCGAUUCCAGUUUUCUUCAUUCCAUCUUUCUGAACGUCACUUAUAUUAUCUUUUCUCAGAGGGUGGAUGCCAUCGAGCAGUAUUUUUCAGAGGUGUGUGGACCACUUGUUCUUCAAGAUAAUCUAGAUAAAGCAGGCCUAUGGUCAAAGUCUGGAGCAGUACAAAACCCAGUCAGAGGAUGUCUCUAUCAUUCCCACGCAGGUAAUUACAGGCUUAAUGAACAAAUGAAAAGGGGAAAGAGGCUAGAGCAUGAAGAGGGGCAAAAAGGAAGGACUGGCUAAAAGGAAGAGAAAAAUGAGAGUUGAGAAAGAAGGUCUUCUCUUCUCCAUCUGGGCUACGUGUAUCUAAGAAAUUACUUCUCCACUACCACUGCCUGCUGGAAUUCAGUGAAGGACUUAGCUACUUAGAAAAAUCCUUGUGGUUCAGUGAAAGCAUCAAUCUACUUGUAUUUUCAAACUUUUAUGUCUAUUUUUAAAAACUUCAUCAUCCCAGAAAUUCUCAAAGUUUUAUAUACAUAAAUAUAUAUGAAGGAAUGACUCUGAUUUUAUAAGCAUACUUAGAAACAAAGAAGUAGCUAUUAGUACUUUCCAUAGAAGCCUAAUAAUAUAGUAUUCCAAAAACAUCAGAUUACCUUAUCCUGGAUCUUUGAGAACUAAUCGAGGCUUCUUUUAUCACAGAGUCUAAAUGUUACAUUUAAUGUGAGAAUUUUUCACUUUUUAGAGCUUUUUUUCUUCCAAUCAAAUGCAGGUUUUUAUUUGUUUGUUGUUGGCUUAGUGAGCAUCCUCCUUUUUCCCUACCCCAAAACAAUCUAACAAACUGCUCUGUUUUUAAACAAGUCUAACAAGGGUGGUCUGGUCACAGGCAUAAAAAUUAAAACUUUGUAUACUAUUUGACAUUGGACCAAAUUUCAGUUCUAUGAAUCUAUAAAAAAAGUCAAUCAGGUAUGUAAACUGCAUGCAUGGGGUGUUCAUGGAUGUGUUUACAAUGAAAAAUGAAGAUAGACUAUGGUAGAGUUGAUGAGUGUUUGAAAAUAUUUUACUAUCCACUGCGCUCCUCUUCACAGGUCCAGUGCACUCCCUGCCCCCUGACUUUAGGCUGGGCCACGUGACUUACUUUGGCCAAUGGAAUAUUUGUGACUAAGAUGCAAUGCAAGGCUUGAAAAACAUUUAUGUGAUUGGGCUUUGCACUCCUGCACUUUUGUCAACUCUAGCUGGCAACGCGAUGAGAAGAUCCCAGGAAGGGUGUAAGAGGCUCAGGGAGCAGAGCCCGCUCCACCUCAUUAUGUACCAAUACCACCUCAGCCAUGCUGAAAACUCACGAGCAAGAAGGAAGUGCUUAUUUCUAUCUGCCUUAUUUUUGUAGUUGUUACGCAGCAAUAUUAUGGCAAGAGUUAACAGAUAUACAACUUAAAUUUCAAAAAAUAGGGAAUUUAAUAAAUUGCAACACAUCACAUAGUAUUAAACCGUCAUUAUUAUUAAUGACAAUGAUCUAUAUUUAUAUAUACAUGGGAUAUGUCUAAAACAUUAACAAAAAAAGUGGCGGGGCAUGGUGGCACAUGCCUGUAAUCCCAGCACUUUGGGAGGCCAAGGUGAGUAGAUCGCUUGAGCUCAGGAGUUCGAGACCAACGUGGGCAACAUAGUAAGACUUUGUCUCUACAAAAAAUAACAAAAAUUAGCCAGGCAUCCUGGCAUGUGCCUGUGGUCCCAGCUACUUGGGAGGCUUGGGUGGGAGGAUCGCUUGAGCCCAGGCAGCGGAGGUUGCAGUGAGCUGAGAUCCCACCACUGCACUCUAGCCUGGGUGACAGAGCGAGACCCUAGCUCAGGAAAGAAAGAAAGGAAGGAAAGGAAGGAAGUUACAAACAAUGUAUGUCCAGCAUGAAUCUCUUAUUUUAUACAAUAUAAACACAUAUGUGUGCUUACACACACAGAAAAGAACCUGGACCGAAAUACACAAAAUGUUAACAGUGUUUCUCUCUGAGGGGGAAGAAUAUAAAUAUGUUCACUUUUUUCUUUCUCAAUCACUAUUUUUUGCAUUAAAAAACUCAUAGCAGUUUUAAGUGCAAAUGAAAAUAAUAAAGUUAUAGAGUUUUCUAACUGUAAGCUGCCAGGUAUCACUGGCCUUCAACAGGAAACACAGUUUUUUUUCAAACCUUCUCCUAAAGAGUGAAGGGUACGUACUUUUAAAAUCUGGCAACUAAAAGCUGAAGUAUGCUUCAAAAUUUAAACCAAAUCCCCAUCAACAUAUAAAAAACAGCCCAGCCUGUUUCUUCCCCAAAUUUGUCUGUUUAUUCCAUCGACUAAUGAAAAGUCUCUGUUUCAGACUCCGAGAUGCAUAUCUGUGAAUUAGUGCUCAGUUUCCCAAAACUAAAGUUAACCUUCUUUCCUGCCUCUCACUCUUCAUUUGUCCUUGAUCCUUCCAUAAAACCCCAAAUCCAGAAGCAAUGAUUAGGAAACUGCAGACUCUAGUAAAAGUAAUUUCACUAGUGUCAGAGAAAGAGAAAGGUUACCCAAUUAAAAGAACUAAGGCUUGGCAUCAGAAACAGAAGUUGUGAACAUGACAAAUAACAUGAACAAAUGGAGAUGGAGAAUGUUAUUUAAGCCUAAUGGGAAUCGGUGCAAAAUAUGUCCAUCUAGUACCUUACUCAGGUAGGGGAGUCAUUGAAAACACCUGACAAAAAAAAAAAAAAAAAAAAAAGGCAGAAGAAAGAAAGUAAAGAAAAGCCACCAGUGAACAAGUGAUCAGCAUUUACAGAUCCCAGACAUGGCUUGCCAAAAAAAAAAAAAAAAAAAAUACACUCUGCCUAAUUUUCCUGCAGGUGUUUCUGUUCCCCUCGACUGCCACUGCACUACUGGGGGCCCACAGCUCUCUGGUGUUAAGGAUUAUAGUUGUUUCAGUUAAAGGAUACAAAGCAGACCUGUGGUUUCAGGAAAUAUUAAAGACCUGUUCACUUGCAGAAAAAUGACAGAAACUUUCAUCUCUGUUAACCAGCAAACAGUCCCUUUUCUAAUGGCCCAUUAGGGAAGCCCAAGAGGAAUAACCUCUCAGAACACUUUGCCCAGUGUCUGGAAAAGGCUCAUAUGAUUCUCGUCCUUUGUGGUCCCCUCAUUUGGUUGCCAGAGUCUUCCCUUUAUCAGAAAUACAGUCCCCAAUAUUUUAUUAUUGCACAUCCCAUAAUUACUCUUGGCAUAACUGUGUUUUAGGCCACAUAGAAGUGAUCUGAAUUUUGGCUGCUACCUACCAUUGAAAUUCUUUCUACUUGCCUCCUACUGACAUUCAAGGUCUAAAUCUCUCUUCACAAUGCUGCACUAUUUUAUAACAGGUUACUACAGGUGCUGUUGUGACUUUGAUUUUGUUCAUCUUUUGGGUGGAGUCCACCAAAUCGGGUUGUCUAUAAAAAGUUGCAUUUUUCUGCUUAAUAAAUAGAUCCUCACA